rnacentral:rRNA from 1 species
GACGAACGCUGGCGGCGUGCUUAACACAUGCAAGUCGAACGGAAAGGCCCUGCUUUUGUGGGGUGCUCGAGUGGCGAACGGGUGAGUAACACGUGAGUAACCUGCCCUUGACUUUGGGAUAACUUCAGGAAACUGGGGCUAAUACCGGAUAGGAGCUCCUGCUGCAUGGUGGGGGUUGGAAAGUUUCGGCGGUUGGGGAUGGACUCGCGGCUUAUCAGCUUGUUGGUGGGGUAGUGGCUUACCAAGGCUUUGACGGGUAGCCGGCCUGAGAGGGUGACCGGCCACGUUGGGACUGGGAUGCGACCCAGACUCCUACGGGAGGCAGCAGUGGGGAAUAGUACACAAUGGGCUGAAGCCUAAUGCAGCAACGCCGCGUGCGGGGUGACGGCAUUCUGGUUGUAAACCGCAUUCGCCUGUGACGAAGCGUGAGUGACGGUAAUGGGUAAAGAAGCACCGGCUAACUACGUG